UGUUUGAUGUUCUAACGUGGACCCGUAAUCCGGGUUGCGGACAGUGUCUGGUGGGUAGUUUGACUGGGGCGGUCUCCUCCUAAAGAGUAACGGAGGAGCACGAAGGUUGGCUAAUCCUGGUCGGACAUCAGGAGGUUAGUGCAAUGGCAUAAGCCAGCUUGACUGCGAGCGUGACGGCGCGAGCAGGUGCGAAAGCAGGUCAUAGUGAUCCGGUGGUUCUGAAUGGAAGGGCCAUCGCUCAACGGAUAAAAGGUACUCCGGGGAUAACAGGCUGAUACCGCCCAAGAGUUCAUAUCGACGGCGGUGUUUGGCACCUCGAUGUCGGCUCAUCACAUCCUGGGGCUGAAGUAGGUCCCAAGGGUAUGGCUGUUCGCCAUUUAAAGUGGUACGCGAGCUGGGUUUAGAACGUCGUGAGACAGUUCGGUCCCUAUCUGCCGUGGGCGCUGGAGAACUGAGGGGGGCUGCUCCUAGUACGAGAGGACCGGAGUGGACGCAUCACUGGUGUUCGGGUUGUCAUGCCAAUGGCACUGCCCGGUAGCUAAAUGCGGAAGAGAUAAGUGCUGAAAGCAUCUAAGCACGAAACUUGCCCCGAGAUGAGUUCUCCCUGAGACUUAGAGUCUCCUGAAGGAACGUUGAAGACGACGACGUUGAUAGGCCGGGUGUGUAAGCGCAGCGAUGCGUUGAGCUAACCGGUACUAAUGAACCGUGAGGCUUAACCUU
rnacentral:rRNA from 1 species